UACGUAGGGGGGCAAGCGUUGUCCGGAAUUAUUGGGCGUAAAGCGCGCGCAGGCGGUCAUUUAAGUCUGGUGUAUAAACCAAGGGCUCAACCUUUGGACGCAUUGGAAACUGGGUGACUGGAGUGUAGGAGAGGAAAGUGGAAUUCCACGUGUAGCGGUGAAAUGCGUAGAGAUGUGGAGGAACACCGGUGGCGAAGGCGGCAUCCUGGACCAACACUGACGCUGAGUGAGCGAAAGCCAGGGGAGCAAAACGGG
rnacentral:rRNA from 1 species